CCGAAAAAAGGAAAAAAAAAACAAAAAUGCAAAGAAAAAAGAAACUUAUUUAUCAACAACGUUCUAGCCCUGCUUAUUGUCAAUAAAUAUUCUAUGGAAAAGAAAUUUCUCUCUAUAAGUUUUCUCAAAAAUGUAAUCUUUAGAAAGUUCACCAAAUUUAAUCUAGAUGGCUCUGGAUUCCCUGAAGAGUUGACAGAAACACGUGUGAAAUUCAUUCAGGCGAUAAGUAAGUUACUCGAUGUUAAAACUGAGUAGAAAUAAUUGGUUUUAUGUGCCUUCAAAUGUUUUAGAUUGUUGUUGUGAGAAAAAAAUUGAAUAAGAUUCUCAAGUUAAAUUCUUUGACAGCUCUCUUAAGGAUUCAAUUUAUAUAAAUGAAGCAAAAUAAUUGAUCUUCUAACUUGCUAGAAUAUUGCCUUAAAAAUAAGUACAUAAUUUGGGGGAAUCAACGGAAGUUCAACCCCUACCUGUUACCAGUGAGAUUUUUCAAUUGAGACUAGUCAUUCUUGUUCGAGUCUUUCUUAUGAAUGAAUGAAUAUUCGACCUCUAAAGUUGCUGCAUGCCGUUGCACUUCACAAAUGAUUUUAUGAUCCUGAAGUGCGUCAUCGAGUUCCGCUAUUUUAGAUAAAUGACUUAGCUAUGACUUUUCAUCUUCUGGAGAGAAGUGGUUACUUUAGAAUUCGUCUUCUUCAAGUUGAAUCCAGGGAAAUUGAUACGAAACUUGAAGCCUCCAACACAUAUUGCAUCAUAAGCCAGAGAAAUAAAAGUCCCUCACUUACCGAAGCUGAAGUUAUUGCCCAAGGGGUGGUUGAAACUUUGCAUCAGAUACUAUGAUAAAGAUAAUG